GGUAGGGGUGUUUGUGGUUGGGAAGAGUAGAAAAAGCAGUGGCAAGUGAAAAAUAGAUCACUUUGAUACGCAAAAAGAGAACAGAGAUGUUGCCAAGCAUUAAUAAACAAGCAUGGAGUAUAUGAAUAUUAGUCAUUAGCGCUAACACUAGAGAUUAAAGGUACACAUACCUUUUGAAAAAUAACUUCGUAUUUUUCUUAACAUGUUUCAUCUCUAUCUCCAAAUUAAUUUUGCGCGCGUGCGCACACACACAUGUAUGGCAAGUUCUCCAAUUACCCAUUCAAAUUUGGAAAUAUUGUUUUCUACAUUUUUCAAAUUAAAUAAAAUAAACUUGGAAAUCUUCCAAACUUUCUUUAAAAUUGCAGAAAAUGAAAAUUCUUCCUUUUAAAAAAAAAAUAAUCUCAAUUGGUGAACAUGUUUUCCAACAAUUUUAUAUUUUCUUAGAAGAUUUAUAAUAAUAACUGCAUCCUAAAUUAUUCUCAUAUCAUGAUUUUUUUUGAAAAUUACAAAAUAAAUCCACCGAAUUAGCUAGAGAAAAUUCUAAAUGAAGAGUCUCUUCCAAAUGCUAUGCAAGGGCUCAGCCAAAAUAUAUAACAGAUUCUUAUGUUUUACUCAAAGAUCCAUAAGAAUUUCCAUGCACCAUAUUGCAGCACUGAUUUCAUUACAUAUGAUGCAUCAGCGGACAUUUAAAACUAUUAUCCUAUUUAAGCACAACCCACAUUGGGUAAUGAACUUCUAAGUUUAUGAUGCUUAUAACAUUUAAAAAAAAAGUAUCAAUCUAAAAUAAUCCAAAAAUGGUAAUUAACUUCUAGAAUUAGCACAUAAGCUCUGGGUCAAGCAGUAAAGGAACAAGAUAAGUAAAAAUAGGCCAUCCAUUCAACUUCUACCAAAAAUAAAAGACAAAAGAAAAACAUAACGAAAACUCCAGAAGGCAACAAACAACCCACAAUAAAAAAA
rnacentral:misc_RNA from 1 species